rnacentral:lncRNA from 1 species
GGUGCACCAGGAGGACAGAACAAGUAACCUUUAACCACUUGACAUUUGACAUUGUCUCCAGGUAGGGUAAGAGGUAACACAGUAGAGGAGAAAUGUCUCCCCCAGAACACCACCCUCCUCUUCAGCGCCCCCUCCUCUGUACUCAAGCCAGAGCCUGUGGCACUCACUAGGCAAGCCCUUUACCGGAGCAGUAUUUCCAGCCUCUGUUUUGCUCUUCAUUUUGAGAUGGGCUCUCACUAAAUUGUGCAGGCCUUAAGUGUUCUUUGUGGCCUAAGCUGGUCUUAGACCUGUCUUGAAAACUAAACCAAAAGCCACACUGAGAUGCUGUGUGAUAGAGACCAGAAGUCACUUUGGCAAAACCUUGGCAACUCAUUUGUUAACUGAGAAAGCCCUGAUUGAACCCCUGCUGGGUCCAAUGUGUGUCAUCAGGUUAGGGAGGGGGAAAAUGUCCCCAGUCCUGCCUUCCCAGAGCUUCCAGCCAGCCCAUGGAGAGGCCAGGGUGAAGUAGCAUGUCUGAAAGUAACAGGAGGAAGGAAUUCUAGAAAAGGACAGUGGAAGAGAAGGUGAAAUAUGAAGAUAUGGAGGCUGAGUUCCUGGAACGGUGCAGUUUCCUGGUCAAGUGUAAGCAGUCAGAACUUGCCCUUCACUGACUGAUGUCACCACCCAUCCACCACUUUCAGAGGGCCUAAGAGGGCCAUGGAGUCCCCAAGAGAGCUGUGCUCAGAGCUCUGUAUCCCGUAUUGGGACCCCUGACAUGGAAGACAGACAGACAGACAGACAGACACACACACACACACACACACACACACAUAGAGAGAGAAAGAGAGAGACAGAGAGACAGAGAGAGACAGAGACAGAGAGAGAGAGAGAGAGAGAGAGAGAGAGAGAGAGAGAGACACUUAUCAGUCAGUCCCUUCAGACUCUACAAUCCUCAAAGACUUCAGAAAAUGUGAAAGCCACCAUCCCAGGAAGUCUCAGUGCACUUCUCAAAGGCUGACGCUGCUGCUGCUGCUGCUGCUGCUGCUGCUGCUGCUGCAAGAUUACAGGUCCUAGUCAAACAGCCACCUAACAGAUUCCAUACUAAGGCUGGGGCUUCAGUUCCUAGUGUGUUCUUUCUCUAGACUGGAGUCCCUGUCCUUGAUAUUUUGGGCCUAAGAAAGACGAGGCAUUUCUCUAGAAAAGCUCUGUUCUUGGAUUCAGUUCUGAUUUCUCUCUUCACAAAGCUUGUUGAAAGCCAAAUGAAAAUUUCCUUUGCUAGAUUUGAUUUUUUUUUUAAAUGAAUCUGAAGGGAAAAAAAAUAGCAAAUCCGCUCUCCUAAUGAGAUAAGGAAUGCACAGUCCUUUGAGAGACACAGCUCUGCUGUGCCUUCACAUAUAAGGUAUUAUUAUGCCCUUGAAAGAAGCACGCGGGCCUGCAGGCCUCUCUGGGCUGGGGGCUGGGGCUUGGCGGAGACAAUUUUCUCUAGAAGGCUGACUCAUCCCUUGAUUAUCCCCAGCUUGGAGAACUACAUUCCUUGAGGUUAUUUUCCACCUCAGUCAGGAACUGGUGGUGGGAUCAUCCUGGAGUUGGGCUCUGAGGGAGCUGACCAGCAUUGAGCGAGCGUGAGUGAUCCCAGCAUCUGCCUGAGGAGCUGAGGCCUGCUGACUGCAUAACUAGGCUUCUGAAUCUACCUUUAAAGGAGCCCCACUGUGAGCUCCCUGCUAGUGCGGCUGAAAGGAGACUGUUGCCAGAGGUAAAGGAGAAAGCAGGCGUCCUAGAUCUGACUGACUACUGCGUGGCAGGCUUGCACGUGGGAUGGACUGAGGAAGGAGAAUCCUAUUAAUGUUCACAGCACACAGCCAAAGGAGUGGGAUGCCGGUCAGUACUUUUAAAGUUGCAAGGUGACUAUUUAUAUCUGAUUUAGGCAACAAACAAAAUAUGACGAAUUAAAAAAAAAAAAACACACAGAAUUUUAUUGACCCACAUAUCUGGGAAGCCUAAGGUUAGGGCUGACCAUAGGAAACACUCAGCCUUUGCACUCAAACAUCAAGAGUGUUCGGGUUAAGCCUCAGCUUGGUCUCUCUUCAUUGUGGGCUUCCUCC